rnacentral:rRNA from 1 species
GACGAACGCUGGCGGCGUGCCUAACACAUGCAAGUCGAGCGGGGACGGGUCCGACACUGGGUAUUUGGUCAUAGACGCGUGGGAAGAGCCGGCGUUUAUGCACAAACAUCCUUAAUAUAGGGAUAUUGAGAUGAGAGUUUGUGCAUCACGCUAAUUUAAGUGCCUGGCACAAAAGCAGGUUAAGGAGUGCAGACUGAGUACCGAGUGUUGGGCCCGUCCCAGCGGCGGACGGGUGAGUAACGCGUGGGUAACCUGCCUUAUACUGGGGGAUAACACUGGGAAACCGGUGCUAAUACCGCAUAACAUCACGGAGGGGCAUCCUUCUGUGAUCAAAGGAGUAACAUCCGGUAUAAGAUGGGCCCGCGUCCGAUUAGCUAGUUGGUAGGGUAACGGCCUACCAAGGCGACGAUCGGUAGCCGGACUGAGAGGUUGGUCGGCCACAUUGGGACUGAGACACGGCCCAGACUCCUACGGGAGGCAGCAGUGGGGAAUAUUGCGCAAUGGGGGAAACCC